rnacentral:rRNA from 1 species
CAGUCGCCGCGGUAAUACGUAGGUCCCGAGCGUUGUCCGGAUUUAUUGGGCGUAAAGUGAGCGCAGGCGGUUAGAUAAGUCUGAAGUUAAAGGCUGUGGCUUAACCAUAGUACGCUUUGGAAACUGUUUAACUUGAGUGCAAGAGGGGAGAGUGGAAUUCCAUGUGUAGCGGUGAAAUGCGUAGAUAUAUGGAGGAACACCGGUGGCGAAAGCGGCUCUCUGGCUUGUAACUGACGCUGAGGCUCGAAAGCGUGGGGAGCAAACAGGAUUAGAUACCCGCGUAGUCCCUGUCUCUUAUACA